AUGUCCUGAGCAGAAGGAUCCCUUUGGGAACCUCUCAGGAGGCGGGACCUGGGCCAGGGGCCACCAGCAUCGUGCUGGUAACUCCGUGGGUGGGGGUG
rnacentral:lncRNA from 1 species